rnacentral:rRNA from 1 species
GAUGAACGCUGGCGGCGUGCCUAACACAUGCAAGUCGAACGAAGCACUUUAGCUUGAUUCUUCGGAUGAAGGCUAUUGUGACUGAGUGGCGGACGGGUGAGUAACGCGUGGGUAACCUGCCUCAUACAGGGGGAUAACAGUUAGAAAUGACUGCUAAUACCGCAUAAGACCACGGAGUCGCAUGGCUCAGUGGGAAAAACUCCGGUGGUAUGAGAUGGACCCGCGUCUGAUUAGGUAGUUGGUGGGGUAACGGCCUACCAAGCCGACGAUCAGUAGCCGACCUGAGAGGGUGACCGGCCACAUUGGGACUGAGACACGGCCCAAACUCCUACGGGAGGCAGCAGUGGGGAAUAUUGCACAAUGGGGGAAACCCUGAUGCAGCGACGCCGCGUGAGCGAAGAAGUAUUUCGGUAUGUAAAGCUCUAUCAGCAGGGAAGAAAAUGACGGUACCUGACUAAGAAGCACCGGCUAAAUACGUGCCAGCCGCCGCGGUAA